rnacentral:rRNA from 1 species
CAGAGGGUGCAAGCGUUAAUCGGAAUUACUGGGCGUAAAGCGAGCGUAGUCGGUUAUUUAAGUCGGAUGUGAAAUCCCGGGCUCAACCUGGGAAUUGCAUUCGAUACUGGAUAGCUAGAGUUCGGCAGAGGGAAGCGGAAUUUCUGGUGUAGCGGUGAAAUGCGUAGAUAUCAGAAGGAACAUCAGUGGCGAAAGCGGCUUCCUGGACCAGAACUGACGAUCAGGCUCGAAAGCGUGGGGAGCAAACAGGAUUAGAUACCCUGGUAGUCCACGCCAUAAACGAUGACAACUAGACGUUGGGGACAUAUGGUCCACAGUGUCGCAGCUAACGCGUUAAGUUGUCCGCCUGGGGAGUACGGCCGCAAGGUUG